rnacentral:piRNA from 1 species
UGCCAGGAAACAGCAUUAUCCGUGGUGGUU